GCGACACAUUAUGAUGAGCUGUAUUUAAAUCCGCUCACUGCCUUAGUUAACUGAGUUCACUGGAAAAGAGCAGAACAAUUUGUGAUCCCUGAAUGAUUUAAAGAGCUGAAGUGGAUGACACCAUGACAGGAGAUUCUGUGGAAACUGCAGCAGAUACGAAAUGUUUAUAGACCCUCCAUAAACGCUGUUGAAUGUCACCAGCCAAGAAAAACCGUCUCAUCAUAUGUGCAUCUGAUACCAUCCAACAGUGACUUUGAGAUGGACUCUGAUACAAAAGAAGAGUUUUAAAGUCAAGUCAUUAUGAAUGUUCUCUACAUUUGUUGAGUGAGUAAAAUCACUGAUAUUCUGUUACCCAAGAGCCCAACGUUGCAAUAUUACAUUUCCCUAAAAACUGACUAAAAUGUCAAAAAUGUAAAAGCCUAUUUAUUUCUGCAUUAGAGGGCCUCCUACAACAACAUUUAAAAGGUGAAAUACUUUUUCCACAGGUUUGGGUCUUUCAGUGUUAAAAAUCUAAACAUUAAUGUCUGGAAUGAGCUUAUGAAGUACAUGUAAAUCCACCUGCCUUUAAAAUGCUGAUAAACACAACAUUUGUAAUUGCUUUCAGGUUCAAACAUCUUAACUAACCAACUGAACAUCUGCAGAUGAAAGCAUGUAUUAUUUUCAGCCUCUAUUCAAUAAUAACCUAAUAUACCUGGUCAUUCUAAACUUCUGAAAACCAUUAAGACAUUAAAGAAAUGGAUGAUCCAAAAGAACAUGGCAAAUUCUGGCACAGGAUGCACAUGAUAAUUCAAACUUUUUUUUCAUAUUCAGAUAAACUGAUGCUUCUGUAGAAACCUUAAGUCUUUAAUUAAAUGAGUGAUAAUGGUUACUCUGAGACAGAGCUCAUGUAGGCUGCAUCAUUCUUUGG